GCUUCCUUCAUUGGCUCAGGAAGGCCUGUCUCCUAAACAGUUUUUCUUCCUUUGUUGCUAACCAUUUUACUGGGCCAGCCUAGAGGGCUCUGAGGCAUUAGGAGCAGCCAGGCAGUUGGUUCAGUCAGACUAUUAGACUUGGGUAAAAGCUGAAAUAGUGCCAACUUUGGUGUUGUCCCUAACCCCUGCUUCUCUCUGUGCAUCCUGUAGCUUUUGGGUUGGUUUGGAGCAGGAGCUGCAUCUUCCCACACAACGGAUGACACCUGCAACCCAAACAAUGUGCCCACACUUGAAUGGAAACCCCUUCAGCAGCGUAUGGUGCUGGGGACCUUCUGGGGAGAUCGCUGGAGUGCAGGUUCACAUGAAAGGGAGUUAGGGAGCUGGGUUUUCUCUUCAUAAGUAUGCACUAACUAUCUCUGGAGGCUUAGAAGUCCAUCCCCACAUACAAGCAAACCUGGGGCUUACGCAUUGUUGCAGCUGCCACCAGUUUGGAGGCUGAAGGGAACAAGUCCUACCCUGGCCAUUGCUUGCUGAUGAAACUUGAUGGUCACUUUCUAUUUCCAGGCUUCCAUUUUCUUCUCUGUGAGAUAGAGGGUGGGAGCCAAAGAGUAGUUUGUUUCAUGAUUCCAUGAAUAUCUUAGAAAGCAAAAUGCACAGAGCCAAAUUUCCUUUGCCAUGCCGAAUGACAGGGCAACGGAACUGGCAGUGUUGUUGCUAUAAAACCCCAACUAGAGUUACAGACGGAAGGGAGUUGGUAUGUCCUGUCACUGAUGUCAGGUGACUCACACAGACGGGUUUGGGACUCUAGAAGCUGGCUGUCGGAACAUCCUUUGAAGUGGUGGUUUUAAACACUUUUAUGAACUGCAGGCUGAAUGUGAACAUUUACCUGCUGCCAUGUAAAACCCCACUGUGUUCCUGCGGCAUCAUCAGGCUUGGAAAAGAGCAAGUCCAAGGGUUCUCCCAAGGUCUGGAUCUAUCUGCAUGAAUGGCCCUCACCUGCGGUGCUCCUGACGCAUCUUGGAGGCCAAAGGAACUUUCUUCCUGGCUCUUGGCAGCAUUGACUGGGGAUCUUCAAAUGGCCAACCAGUUCACAGCCAUUGUGAACAUUUAUGUAAUAACACUUCAUUUCACCUGUU
rnacentral:lncRNA from 1 species